CUCCUUUUCAGGCUUUCUUAUAAAUCUUCAUCCUUUUCAUUCCUUUUUUUCAUUAUUUUCUUUAUCUAUUACUACUCAGCCAUGUUUUCUAUCCUGUGACUGUUACUACUUAUCUCUUCUACGGCAAUAAAAAAGUUAGGUGAAGAUUAUAACAAAAUGAGACUAAAAAAGCCCGGAAGUGUGGUUCAAACCUUCGUACUUACAACAUUCCCUUAGUCUCCUUCGAUAUUCUUAAUCAACCCAGCCCGGAAGAAAAAAAAAGUUGUGUUAGGCUACUUGCUUGCUGCCGCGUCAACAUUACUCUCAAAGGUAUUGGCCACAGUGUGCAACUAGUCUAGGCUACAUAUAGUAACAAAUAUGAUUACUAGACCUACGUAAUAUUAAAAAAAAUAA